UUUGUACUCUCUCUGUCCCAAAAUUCUUGUCUUAAAUUUGUCUAAAUACGGAUGUAUCUAGUUACAUUUUAGUGUUAGAUACAUCCGUAUCUAAACAAAUGUAAGACAAGAAUUUUGGGACGGAGGGAAUACUAC
rfam:Triticum aestivum genome assembly, contig: Triticum_aestivum_CS42_TGACv1_scaffold_222595_3B